GGCAGCAUUAACCUAGGAGCCCCAGCUGUGAUCAGGCCACAUUCUGCUCGAUGCUGUUCUGAGAGAACAAGAGAGAGCCCCUGCCCUGAAGACCUUCCACUCUCAAUAGACAGGCCAGACAACGUGUUAGGGGCUCAAGCCAUGGUUCUGACCCUCCCCAGACUGAUCUCAGCCCCUCCGGAUUUAACGUAGGGUUGUAAGGGCCUGCUGCCUGCUGCCCCUUUGAGGCUGAAGAAGCCUACUGGACAUCAUUCAGAGUGGCCCAGGGCAUCUGCUCUUCUUCAGGUGCCUCAGUACAUGAAAGCAAAGCACUGGAAUUAAGGCAAACACGCCGAUCUAUCAUUGCUCCAGCUAGGAGGAGAAAAUCUUCCCGACGAAAGUCUGUCCUUAAUUAGG